CAGAAGAUAGUUUAAGUGUAAAAUGCCAGCUUUGGGAGCUGGCGAUGGAGGUUUAAGUCCUCUUUUUCUGA
rnacentral:tRNA from 1 species